GUGAGGAAUUUUCCGCAAUGGGCGAAAGCCUGACGGAGCAAUGCCGCGUGAAGGAUGAAGGCCUAUGGGUUGUAAACUUCUUUUCUCAGAAAAGAAUUAUGACGGUAUCUGAGGAAUAAGCAUCGGCUAACUCUGUCCCAGCAGCCGCGGUAAGACAGAGGAUGCAAGCGUUAUCCGGAAUGAUUGGGCGUAAAGCGUCUGUAGGUUGUUUAAAAAGUAUUCUGUCAAAGAUUAGGGCUUAACCCUAGAUAGGCAGAAUAAACUUUUAAGCUAGAGUUUGGUAGAGGCAGAGGGAAUUCCCGGUGGAGCGGUGAAAUGCGUAGAUAUCGGGAGGAACACCAAAGGCGAAGGCACUCUGCUGGGCCAAUACUAACACUGAGAGACGAAAGCGAGGGGAGCAAAUGGGAUUAGAUACCCCAGUAGUCC
rnacentral:rRNA from 1 species